CCUACGGGAGACAGCAGUGGGGAAUAUUGCGCAAUGGGCGAAAGCCUGACGCAGCGACGCCGCGUGAGUGAUGAAGGUCUUCGGAUCGUAAACCUCUGUCAGCAGGGAAGAACGGUCACUGUGCUAAUCAGCAGUGAAUUGACGGUACCUGCAAAGGAAGCACCGACUAACUCCGUGCCAGCAGCCGCGGUAAUACGGAGGGUGCGAGCGUUAAUCGGAAUGACUGGGCGUAAAGCGCUCGUAGGCGGUAUGUCAAGUCAAGGGUGAAAUCCCCGCGCUCAACGUGGGAACUGCCUUUGAAACUGGCAAACUGGAGUGUGAGAGAGGAUAGUAGAAUUCCAGGUGUAGGAGUGAAAUCCGUAGAUAUCUGGAGGAACAUCAGUGGCGAUGGCGACUAUCUGGCACAUAACUGACGCUGAGGAGCGAAAGCGUGGGUAGCAAACAGGAUUAGAUACCCCUGUAGUC
rnacentral:rRNA from 1 species